UUGCACGCUGGCGGCAGGCCUAACCCCUGCAAGUCGCACGGUAACAGGAAGCAGCUUGCUGCUUUGCUGACGAGUGGCGGACGGGUGAGUAAUGUCUGGGAAACUGCCCGAUGGAGGGGGAUAACUACUGGAAACGGUAGCUAAUACCGCAUAACGUCGCAAGACCAAAGAGGGGGACCUUAGGGCCUCUUGCCAUCGGAUGUGCCCAGAUGGGAUUAGCUAGUAGGUGGGGUAACGGCUCACCUAGGCGACGAUCCCUAGCUGGUCUGAGAGGAUGACCAGCCACACUGGAACUGAGACACGGUCCAGACUCCUACGGGAGGCAGCAGUGGGGAAUAUUGCACAAUGGGCGCAAGCCUGAUGCAGCCAUGCCGCGUGUAUGAAGAAGGCCUUCGGGUUGUAAAGUACUUUCAGCGGGGAGGAAGGGAGUAAAGUUAAUACCUUUGCUCAUUGACGUUACCCGCAGAAGAAGCACCGGCUAACUCCGUG
rnacentral:rRNA from 1 species